rnacentral:rRNA from 1 species
GACGAACGCUGGCGGCGUGCUUAACACAUGCAAGUCGAACGAUGAAGCCGGAGCUUGCUCUGGUGAAUUAGUGGCGAACGGGUGAGUAACACGUGAGUAACCUGCCCUUGACUCUGGAAUAACUGCGGGAAACUGGAGCUAAUACCGGAUACGACCCUCGGAGGCAUCUCCUGGGGGUGGAAAGAAUUUCGGUCAAGGAUGGACUCGCGGCCUAUCAGCUAGUUGGUGAGGUAAAGGCUCACCAAGGCGACGACGGGUAGCCGGCCUGAGAGGGUGACCGGCCACACUGGGACUGAGACACGGCCCAGACUCCUACGGGAGGCAGCAGUGGGGAAUAUUGCACAAUGGGCGCAAGCCUGAUGCAGCAACGCCGCGUGAGGGAUGACGGCCUUCGGGUUGUAAACCUCUUUUAGCAGGGAAGAAGCGAAAGUGACGGUACCUGCAGAAAAAGCACCGGCUAACUACGUGCCAGCCGCCGCGGUAA